rnacentral:rRNA from 1 species
GUGGGGAAUAUUGGACAAUGGGGGGAACCCUGAUCCAGCCAUGCCGCGUGUGUGAAGAAGGCCUUUUGGUUGUAAAGCACUUUAAGCGAGGAGGAGGCUCUCUUGGUUAAUACCUGAGAAGAGUGGACGUUACUCGCAGAAUAAGCACCGGCUAACUCUGUGCCAGCAGCCGCGGUAAUACAGAGGGUGCGAGCGUUAAUCGGAUUUACUGGGCGUAAAGCGCGCGUAGGUGGCUAAUUAAGUCAAAUGUGAAAUCCCCGAGCUUAACUUGGGAAUUGCAUUCGAUACUGGUUGGCUAGAGUAUGGGAGAGGAUGGUAGAAUUCCAGGUGUAGCGGUGAAAUGCGUAGAGAUCUGGAGGAAUACCGAUGGCGAAGGCAGCCAUCUGGCCUAAUACUGACACUGAGGUGCGAAAGCAUGGGGAGCAAACAGGAUUAGAAACCCGUGUAGUCC